CCAAUAGCGUAUAUUAAAGUUGUUGCAGUUAAAAAGCUCGUAGUUGAGUUUCAGGCCUGGCUGGGCGGUCCGCCCUUCGGGUGAGUACUGCCUGUGGUCGGGUCCUACCUUCUGGCGAAGCGUCAUGGCCUUCACCGGCCGUGGCGGGGAACCAGGACUUUUACUGUGAAAAAAUUAGAGUGUUCAAAGCAGGCAAUCGCUUGGAUACAUUAGCAUGGAAUAAUGGAAUAGGACAGUGGUUCUAUUUGUUGGUUUCUAGGACCGUUGUAAUGAUUAAUAGGGAUAGUUGGGGGCAUUAGUAUUCAAUUGUCAGAGGUGAAAUUCUUGGAUUUAUUGAAGACUAACUACUGCGAAAGCAUUUGCCAAGGAUGUUUUCAUUAAUCAAGAACGAAAGUUAGGGGAUCGAAGACGAUCAGAUACCGUCGUAGUCUUAACCAUAAACUAUGCCGACUAGGAAUCGGGCGAUGUUGACAAAAUGACGCGCUCGGCACCUCAUG
rnacentral:rRNA from 1 species